rfam:Myotis lucifugus cont2.50310, whole genome shotgun sequence.
GGUGGUUCUCGGGUGACACACCCUGGAAUCGGGCUCCCUCCUCUCUGGUUCCAUGUGCGUCACCUGAAAACCGCA